UACGGAGGGUGCAAGCGUUAUCCGGAUUCACUGGGUUUAAAGGGUGCGUAGGCGGCCCUCCUUGUCGCGUGUGAAAGCCCCGGGCUCAACCUGGGAACGGCGCGCGAGACGGGGGGGCUGGAGUUCGGGAGAGGAGCGUGGAAUUCCCAGUGUAGAGGUGAAAUUCGUAGAUAUUGGGAAGAACACCGGUGGCGAAGGCGGCGCUCUGGACCGAGACUGACGCUGAGGCGCGAAAGCCAGGGUAGCGAACCGG
rnacentral:rRNA from 1 species